rnacentral:lncRNA from 1 species
UGAGGUGAAGGUCUUACUUAGUAGGCAAAUUCGAGCUGUUGUUUUAAUUCAGAGACCAGACGACUUUGAUACUGCUGCUUCUAUGGCCUUGACGCUGACAUAAGCGCAUUUAUAUUAUGAGUUAUUAGGCGAGGCUGCCCCUAGAACCAUCUUAUUAUUUUUAGCGUAGCAGUUGCUUAAAAUUGGAGAAAAACAACCAAUUGUGCCUAUGUUUCAGACAAUCCCAUGCUUGCCCCGGAUCCAGAACUGUGAUUAGCAAGCACUACUGUCAGGUUCUUGACAGUUUCCUCUCGACUUUCAAAACACCUAUACUCAUACUCUCAAUCAGUGCACAUUUCUCUCAGGGUAUCCAAUCGAUGGGAUACUGGUGCUGGGGAGGGCACUAAACUUACAGGAAUGCUUCUCUUGAAUGAAUUCAUUGGUUCGAAUUCUUUUCUAUCUAAAAAUAAAGUGGAAUAUGGUAGUUUUCUGGGUGAAAUGGGCAACUGGAUCAACAAACAUGAGUGGAGCCAUAGCCUUGUAUGAGUAACGGUGCAACUGCCUAUCUUAUCCAUCUCGAGCCCUAAGCAAUGCGAUUUUCCUUUACUUUGCCACUAGCUAUAUCAUUGUCUAAAUGUUGAAGAACUAUUGUGAUUUCAUUUCGAUCGGAGGUUACACAUGGAGGCUCUGGGUCAAGAGGGGAAAGCAUGGCUGAACAUAGCAGCACUUCCCACUCACUACCACCUAUGUCGCAAGCGCCUUCCUCCGUCUAUCUGUUGUCGCUUCCGGGCACACCAUCAAUUGAUUCAUCUUUGAAUAAUAAUGGGUUUCAGUGGCGGACAAUAGCAAGCUACUGACCCUCUAGAAUAUGGGUGCAUUCAGCAUCGGAUUGACAAGUUCUGCUGAUAGCGGAUCCUGAGACGCAACAAGGGCGGGGACAAUACCUAUAGUGGGGAGGGGACCCAAGCAUCACAAUAUCACGAUGUUUUCUUUUCAUUGAUCAAACCGCUUCGCUUGCACGGAUCUAGAAAGAAUAACAAGAGCUGAACUACCGGUAUACGGAGUGGCUUCGACAUGUCUAAGCAAGGGGAUGAGUCGGCAUCUUGUAGAGGAUCUAUCAAGAGUGGCAAAAAGAGAUGCAUUAUUCAUGGCAAGUAGGCGGUUCCUUUUCCCUAUUACCUCAUUGACUUCCCGUUUGGAGCUUGCAACCAUUAUUCUAGGGAGCACGAGCACAUAUGAAGGGGAGAAGACGACUGGUGAGGGUGGAUUUCAGUCGAAAGAGCUUCUGCAGUCACCAUUGCGUAUCCGUAUCGUGUUCCUCUAUUCACAGGUUCUCAUGCCCUUACUAAAAAGCUCUAUAACAUGGUCCCUCAUAAUGAAUGUCAUUCCUUUUCGCCUAUAUAAAAAUCCUGCAGAAUCACAUUCGCUCUUGGGAAAUAGGCAUUGUCGAGCUUUAUUUUCAGACAAGUUCAUCUCUGUAGUGGCCCAAUCCAACAAAAUAACAUCUCGCAGGUGAUCCACCGAGCGAAUCCUGAGGCUGUGGUGCUCAUAGUACCCGAACCCUUGGAUCUCGCUUUGCAAUGGAACCUCUUCUGUGGACUCAGCUUAAGUAAAAGAUGGAGGUUUCGGCGAUGUCUGGUUGGACGGACCCCCUAUUCAGAAUACGCGUGCGUCCCCACGUACGCGCGUGAUAAACCAUAAACACAAAGGAGUGAUAUGACCCUCUAAGAAGAUGAGGAAUCCACUUGUUAAAAGAAGAAAGAAUCAGCUAAACCACUGGAAUAGAGAGAUUCGCCUCAUGGAAUAUAAGGAAAACAUGCACAAGAAAUAUGAGGAAUGCACUAAAAAAGAAACUAAACAGAUCCAAAAUAUAAGGAAUGACCGGCUUCGACUUCUAUUCAGAUGCACAAUCCAUUGAAAUUAUUCCACUUUACCGAUGCAUUCAUCUGGUUUUGGAUGCAUUCAUCAUGUUUUCAGUAUCCAUUCCCUAUGGUGUCCAAAGGGAUUGCCUUAUGAAUCGAAAAUUCCGAUCAAUCGAAAAACAAAUGCAGCAGGACACACUUUUGAAGAUAAAACGAGUGUGCAGCUGUGAUGCACACCGGGGGAAUUCCAAAAAGACUGGCUUCCCCUUCUAGAAAGAGAAUACGCGUGUGUCCUCACGUAUGCGCGUAAAAAAUGAAGAAAAGAAAGGUGUGGAUUGCUGCGAGAAAAUAGCUUGCACGAAAGAGCUCGAAAUUGAGUAAGUUAAGUUGACCCAAUUAACCGAUUUUAGAGUCUUGAAAAAGCAAUCGAAUUAAGUUGUAUAUAGUCUAACUCAAAUACUUGAUUCAUGAUUAGAAAUCUCAAUCUUAAAUUAGCUUAUAUAAUGUUCUUUACUUUUGAUGCAAUGACAGAUUCUCUUUCGAUAACAUAGCACAGCCAUUGGGCGAGACCACGUGAACAUGACUACUUAGUAACGUCGUUGAAACCGGCCAACCUGCCGUCGUAAGAGAGAUAUUUUAGCAUUGUUGCAACCAGUUAUCAAUCCAAUCCUUCGCAAACCAACUAAGCUAUAAAGCUUUUUUUGUUGAAGUGGCAGACACAAGAUAAAUAAUGUGAAACCGGACCUCUCUUACUACAGUGGGAGGUGUAGGCCUUAUUUGCAGCAUCAGGUGCAACAUUAUUCCCCCCUAGAGAGCCAGCGGGUCCCCACGCUGGUGCAUUCGGGAAGCUGUAUGCAUUCGGUGCCCUCAAGCGGGGAUUAAGAUUACCCAAAUCAGCAUAACAAAAUGGGAGCUCAAAGACAAACUCCAGAAUAGCUGAGUUGACAUCAAUACAGACCAUGCAAUGCUUAAAUUGCCUUUGCUCAUUGCUGCUAACCUGACUCCAACAAUUAGACAAUUGUUGCAACUCGUGUCAUCCGUGAGGGUAACUUGAGUAGUAAUUUUACUGAACUACAACAACAACCAUGAACUCACAAAAGAAGUACUCCAUCAUGGUAGCAGUCCAUGAAUCCCAUUCAGCACCAGAGCUCAACAUACACAAGACUAAACUGCCAAUACUCUAACCACCAGCUACAGGUGGCUCACGAAUGAAUAGUUCCAGGCGAGUAGCUUCAGGUGGUGGUCGUAUCUCAUCUCCAUCCACGAACCAAGGUACUAGCCAGUGCCAGACUGUACAUGUAAAGGAAGAGACGCUGAAGACUGCCUUUUAUUCAUGGAAGAUAGAUAAACAAGAUUCAUUCCAUCGUAAGACAGAACAAAAUACUACUAGCCAAAGCCUACUUCGGCACAUGAAGGAAGUGAGCAACAGCCCUUGGGCAUGAGGCGGGUAAGAUAUGCCUAAUCUAUUGGGCCGAUAAAUACUUCUUUCCCAUGGGUACGAUAUUAGAAAUCUUUGUUGCGAACAGAAAAGAGAGAGACAUAAUAGAUUUGGUAGGCGGAGGAAUGGAAGGGCCAGGCUCACAUCUUAUGAACGGAGGAAGCGAAAUGCUGCAGUCAAGAGAAAUCAUUAACACUUAUUCACAGCUCAAAGCCAUAACCAUAGGGGCCUAGUCUACGAGAGAUUGAUCCGACAAGCAACUCCGGGAUGUGAGGCGUUUAAGCCAUAGUUGAAAUAGAAAGUACCGGUAAAUGACUUGCCGGGGAUCCGCUGAAAUACGAGAAGAUCCCGACGUUUUGCAGUGCAUGCGCUUGGUCAUUGGCAUGAGGAGUGCGGCACGGGAGAGCGUGAUGUUGCCAAACUAGGAUGGGCCCCGUUCCUGAUAGCAGCUUCCCUGGAACUAGCUGCCAUUGUAUCGGUUGGUGCCAUUUCUUCUCUUGGAGGCACGGCAAUAGAUUAAGAUUAGGCGGUAAGCGAAGGAACUGUAGGGCUUAGGGCUGCGGGUGAGCGCAACUUCAAUAGGUCGAGGGGAGGAAGAGAAGAAAAAGCAGCUAUUUCACCUGGUGUCAUAAUAACCACAGUUUUCGGGUUUUAAGGCAUAAGCGCAGGAGAGAUCUUCUUUCAUUUAAGAAGAAGCCACCGUAAAGAAGAGGAAACAAGGCGUUUAAGGGACACUGACUCCCAUUAUUUUCUCCAUGCCUGCUUUGGCUAAAUCGACGGAGGCUUAGCUUAUUAUGUGUCAGGCGUUUAGCUAGCUUAGAGAAUAAAUAAAUCUAUCCCUAAAGGGGGAGCGGUACCACUAUUUUAGGUUAGAGGAAGGUUGAAGAGAGAAUAGCUAAAAUAGCCAGUCGGGUAGCCAAGUGCGGGUGGCUAUGGUCAAAGUGAAUAUGUCUUGUCGAUCAACUGUUUAGUAUACCCAGUUCUGUAGAAUUAUUUUGUGCGUGGAACUCCGAACGACCCUUAUACUGUUUUGCUUUCUGCUACUUCUUGUUCUGCUUUGCCUAGAGAAUUUCACGUCUGUGGAAUGCCCUAUAGCUAUAUUUAGGUAUAUUACUCCUCUAGCUAUAUUUAGCUAGUUCACCAUUGUAUACGACCAAGGUUUACACCUGAGAGUCAUAGUGAAUCCUUGCAUUCGUGAAACUGACCAGAUGAGAACGAAACUGGUGGGAACAAUCAACUAUACGACAACUGCGAAGUUCAAGUUGGCUUCUGAAAAUCAACUAUGCUGAAAUAGAUUCUCUUUUGAGAGCCCUACAUAUACCGAUCAAACAUUCCAUUUCAGACUUGUCUGCUUUACUAUCUAAUAAGUUUGAUAGAAAUCAAGGCGGGUAUAGCUUCCUUUGAUCCAUACCGUAAUAUUCAAGCCGACUUUGUCAACUUAUUCCCCUUUUUCAGGUUGAAUUGACAAUGCUGUACUUUAUUCAACCAUAGGAAUCAGAAUUUCGUAGGUAGAGGGGGCCAAGGUGCCAGAAACAUGGAUUUCAUGGAAACAAGGUAAUCCAUAGUUGGUAGCAGAUGUUCCAUGGGAUCAGUUAUCCUCCGUCUUGUCUCUGCAUUCGAGGAAUGCUUGUAGCUAUGCUAGGCGUGAGAAGAACUCUACAAUACGAUUUCUACGAUUGGUACCACAUUGGAAUUCAUUCUCGGAACUCUCCUCUAGAGAAUGGCCUAGCUAAAGAGAGUGAUAGAUCCAUCGCGUCGUGUGGAAACUAAAGCUAGGUGCCGCCAUUCGUCCUCAGCCGUAUUCUCAUUCUGGGAAAAGUUAUGGCUCGUUCUGGGAAACGAUCAGUAGUAGUGGUGGAUGGCAGGUAUGGAAGGAUCCCGGCAAGUUCCUAUCUGAGAUUACCACCGGCCCUUCCCUGAGCUGACUUCUUUGCUAGUAGUGAAGUGCGUUUUCACUUAGCUGGAAAAGUCCAUAAUCCGUUUUGACCUCGGGAGCCUGCCCACGGAUCUGAUCAAAGUAUGAUUCCCUAGUGCCAAAAGUCCUAAAGCCUAUGGCGCCAAGCAUGGGGAGUCCGCGGAGAAGAAAAACUCUAUUUCGCUAUGGGCCAAAACUAGUGUUUUUUCGGAUUUCUAGUCUAGUUUAAGUGCAGGGCUAGAGAGUUCUCUUCCAGUAUCUUAGCUGACUGUCCGCUUGCUUGACUCGAACAAAUAGCUUUUGUUUCCACAAGGCAGAUCCCAUUCCUCGAAUGCAAAGGACAAGAAAGACGGAUUCUGGCUGGAAGAAAGGGUUCUCGUAUUGGUUCUUCUGGUGCGCUACUUCCUUGUGCUGUGCCAGAUUGGAAUUGGUAUCGGAAUCCUGGUUGGUAGAAGGAAGCUCGGGUAUUGCUUAUUGUUGAAAGCACUCGUUUGUUUCGGCUCGUGAGUUGAAAUCACUCGCUUGUUCCGGCUCGUGAUGUGUCUGACGCAUGCAUAGAAUCAAGAUCUAUUGAGACCAGGAUGUUUGUUUCUUGCUCGAAACAAGAGAUACGCUCCGGCUUAUUUGCAUUCAACUGGAGAACCUCACUUAUCAACUGCCCUGGAUUGGAUCUACUUACGAUUUGAGAAACUGGCUCCAGAACCCAUGUUUUUGAUGCAGAAUCGGUGGUUCCUUCUCUUUUUCGUGAUUUCAUCCAUAAAUCAAUGGAAAGAGCACUUUAUUCAGUGAAUUGACACGUUCCUCAUGCUUUUACAGUAGUAGUAGUCUCGGUAGCAGAAGUAGAUCCGAGUGUAGAUACCGGGAUCAUAUCACCACUAUUGACUAUUUCAAUUCAUUCACAUCUGCUCGUAUCAAUCAAAGUUUCCUAUCAAGCAAUCCCAGCAGCAAUCAAGUUGGCACCCACUAUAUAAGAUGCACUAUUUCCUGAUCUUGUCCCAAACCCAACUCGACACUUUUAGACCUGGCCUGGAUCCCUCCCUUCUCCGACAAUAUAUGCAACCUUAAAGAAAAGAGACCACUCUCAGAACGACCCUUCGGAAAGCCCCACAACAAGCUAUCCCAGAAGAAAUUGUAUAACUUGGCCAAAGUAUUCACUUCCAAUUCCCUUUGCAAUAAGAUCACAGUAGAUACUGUUUAGAAGGUUCACUCUCUCGUCUACAAAAAAUAGAUGUGUGCUUACUUCUUGGAGAUUAACUCCUGCGGGUAAGUGCACACCCUCAGUAGUAUCUCUAUAGACUUUAUAGAGUAUUUCCAAUUGAUAAAUGAUUUGUUCUUUAAGAACAUCUUUGGAUAUAUCAGUUACUUGUGUUUCAACAUUAAUAGCAUUUAUGUGAUGGAUCAUCGCCCUAACGGCGACAAGAAUAGCUAUCGACAAUGACAAACCCAAUGAUACAAUAUACUCAAAUAUAAUCGUUUCCAUAAAAAUCUGCCAUCAUUUUUUUAGUCAUACUUGUCCCUUAGCGGACUCACUCUUGUCUUGCUUCAUCUAAGGAGUGAUAAGUGCCAGGAGUCUGCCUCUAGCAUCAAUACAUGUCCUAGUUACGAACAAAGAAGCGGUGUUGUCUCCUUAGCGUUAGCGGCCUUAUGCCUAUUCCAGUAUACGCCCGUGUCAAUAUGUCUAGACUUACCUAUACCCAUGCUUCCUUCUUCUUUGACUAGCUUGCUUCCCCUAUCAAAUAGAAGGGGAAUGACUGCGUGCUUGGCCAUCGUUAGUAAGCCCACGUAGGAUAGGACCAUCAUCGAGCAAAUGUUCCUUCAAAGGCGCGGAGCGUGCUAUGGCAGAUUUUCAUCCCGCAAGAGGAUGCGCCUAACUAAAACGCCGUAAGGCAGUGCAGCUCAAUCCGUUGCUUUGCUUGUUGGAUCCACUUUUGGAAAGUUUCUUUGUUCGUAGCAUUAGUAGUUACUCACUGCAUUAGUAGUUACUCACUGGGUGGGUGCACCAACGGCUUUCUAGGAAUUUGAGUUGAAGAUUCUUUCGUGAAAUAAAAGAACGGCAGCGGCAGGUUGAUGAGGGAAAGGAAACCAGAUCUUUUUUCUAUGGUAUGGCCUGGGUGGCCUAAGUGAAAUCCCGAGAUAUGAAGGAGCCGAUCAAUCUACCCGCCCGAGGUAAGCUUGCUCCUCACUUGAGUUGAAGCUGCCUCCGCUCCCUGUCGUCAUACGGAUUGAUUUACUUUAUCUUGACAUGCGCUACACUUAUAUUUGCUAGAGAUAUCAAUCGAAAUAGGAGCCUUCUGAAAAUAGAAAUCGAUAUAUCCAUGGUAUUGAAUGGCCAAGAAUUGAAUGGGAUUGUGGCACCCAGUGAUACACUACGCCAUGUUACGAACAAAGAAAUGAUAGAAUUUCAUUAUGGCAUGGCGCUAUAGGCCAUCGAUUCGGUUAUAGGAGUAGACGCGGGCAAUGGCAAAGAGGAACAUUUGGAUGGACGACCUCCAAGACACGAGUCACUACUUUAGAACUACGUUAUUCCCUGGCGUGAGGUACACAUCCGGGGUUGAAGAAGGGACGCAUAUCAAAUAAAUGUGAUCUAGAUCCCUUUAACAGAAUAGCAGCAUCUUUGAAUUCCGAGCCGAGACUAUUAUGAUUACCUACCGAAUUGGAGGAAUCAAAGAUCCUUACUUGAGGAACUUAACUGGCACUCUACUGAUUGGACUUUACCGACUUCAAAAACCAGAAAAGAUUCUAUACCGAGCUUACCUAUCAACCAGACGGACUUGAACAACUGACCUGUAUGCUAUUGUUAUUGUCGGGCCUCCAGACCAUACCAAUUCACCGAGUUAGAAACCGGACCAGAGCUAUUAACCGACUUGACGUGCUUUCCUGACUAACAGACCGGACAGACCAAUCCAACGAACUGACUUUGCUAGCUUAUCGAGCCGAGGAGACAAGACGGAUCCAUAUAAGGAUACCAGCAACCCGAAGAGAAGAACCCCGGUUUAUUAGAGAGAUCCGUUCUAUUUCACUAGUUGGGUUUCUGUCUCGGCCUGGCAUCUUUGGACAAGAAUCAUAAGUAUAAGUAGCAGCUUCCUAUUCCUUAGUACUUUCCUGUAGUGUAGUUUCUCAAACCAGUGCUUUUCCUGGAAUGGAUAGAAUUCCUCAACUCUAGGAAAACCUGGUAUGAAAAAUUCCGUAUAAUAUGCAAAAUUACGUUUCCGUAUAAAAUAAAUAAGUAGACUAGCUCUGGACCGGAAAUCGAAACCCUGGAAAGAAAAGACAGGACAGGUAUGAAUCACUAAACCUGAGAGCUUCCUUGUCUUCUCCCAAAGCCAACUCUGGAUUUUCCUCCUUCCCGCAAAGUCAGAGUGAUGCUAUCUCUCCUCUCCCCGGCCCUCUGGGAUGAAGAAUGUCCAACAUCCUCUUCUUGGAUACCAGAUUCCAUCCUUAUCCACCUGGCUAGAAGCUGGCUAGAAGAUCGAAUUUCUUGGAAUGAGUAUAUUUUAGGUGUUUACGUAACUCAUCCAGUCCAGAAAUAGCUUGACCUGUACAAUUUCGAACGAAUCAAGAUAUCCUAUCGUUCUGGUAGCUAUAGUAGCUAUCUGUUCUUCCACUAGGAGAAGGUUUGAUUGGGAUUGUUUAAGCAAUUCCCGUCAUAAAAACAAUGGAUUCUGGCUAGUUUUAUCGAGAGCAUAGGUGAAUAAUAGGCUUGUCACUCUGCGAAUUGAGCUAGUUCCUAUUUUGAUUUGCCAGCUACUUGUUUCAUUGUGGCACAUUUGAGCCGCUGAUCCUACUCUGGAAAGUGAAAUACCCACAUGAAUAGCAGGUCGAAUUCUGGCAUGGAAUAGAUCCGCGGAUAAGAAGAUUUGUCCAUCUUGGAGAUGACAUUAGUUGGAAUAUAGGCGGAAACCACUCCAGUUGGGCAUACUCUCUUCGCCUAAAAGAAAAUUGUAUUGAGUGGCUCUUUCUAAAAGGCAUGAAUGCCAAUCAAAUCAACCCUAUCCUGAUGGAGAAUAGAGAUCCACCCACCCACCUUCUAUAUUCUCCCAUCCCCGAGGGAAGACCACGCACGGCCGAGAAAGAUGUGUCUCGUAUUCAGCAGCUCGCCUAAGUCCUAACGUUAAUGGAAAGAGUAAGAUAAGAAAGCUUAAGCGUGGUAGCCCAUAGAACAAAUAUGAGAAGUGAUGUUUUGAAAGCUUCUUAUUGAGUCUAAUACUAUCCUUUUGAAAUUCUUGGUCCUCAGAUCAGAUACCAUAACCAGCAUCUACAUGCUCAUGCUGCAAACUAUCACAUAGGUCCUAUUUCAGGUUCAUUUACUUUCUCAAAUAAGUAACUUUGUCUAAUGUUCCCCGAGCGAUUAGUUAAAACAACCACCCCCUGAUCCGAAAGGAAUGGGUGUUCCCGAGGCUUAUUCAAAGGGCUUUCUAGUGAGUUAAUGGGGAAUGAGGGUAUCACCCAUAACCAGUUUGAAGAUGCAAAAAUUAUGUUCUUGUCAAGGAGGGGGAUUAGCUACACAACCAAGGAAGGCCUUUUUAGAUUAUUAAUAUUCUGACUGCUUUUCACUCUUGUCUAGAUCUUGCUAUUGCUUAGAGGGCAGGCCGCAGGACAAAGCAAGAGCUUGCAUGCGAGGGGCGCAGCGAAUGUUUGCUUCAAAGGAGCCUGUGAGCCAGCGAUAAUUAGACCCGUUAAUUAGUAGGGACAACUUGAAGUAGGGACAACUUGAAUACUCCACCUGUGUCUAAUCAUCCACUCGACCAGCCAAUGAAACGAAUUGAGAUGAAAGUGAUCGAAAGUUAUCUCCCGUAGAAGGAGCUAUGUUUGCGAAGGAUCGAAGAGAGCGUUGAGGGCGCUAGCAACAGCGUGUUUGUUUCAACACAAGAAGUGUCGAUCCAAGCUUUAAGAACUCAAUCGUCCGUCCGACCGAAUCACUCGUUUAUGGCUCUGAUUCCAAGUCAGGGUUUAAAACAGCGGUGACCCAGCUAGUUGAAUAGUUUUUACUUGGAACACCAGACAUGAGAGCCAGCUACAAAGACAGCUAAUGAUAUCAAAGUUGACGAAACAAGAGAGUUUCAUUCAAUUCUUUUCAGAGUGUACGCCUAUGAUCAAUAGUUCCUUAUGUAAAGGAUAUUUCCCUUCUCAUAUUCUAUUCGAGAGUUAUCAGUAUUUAGCAAAGCUGUUCCUAUCUAACGGAGGGCUAUUGGAUCAAAUGAAAAAACAUUGUUGAGAAAUAGUAGCCACCCGAAGUAGAGGGAAUCCAACCUUGCCCAAUCGAUGCUCAAGUGGCCCAAAGAAGCAAUCUGAAAAGGGAAGAGCUUGUUCUGAAGGAACCGCACUCAAAGGUAAUGUUUACUUUAUCAAAUCAUUCUUACUCCUUGGUUACCCCUGAUGAAACGAUCCUAUUCAUUUGACCAUUCACUAGUUUGUAAAUUGCGCCUACUUCAUGCACAUAACUCCACUCUACUGGAGGCUUGGCAUGCUCGAAAAGAAAAAAACGGAGUCAAUCUUUUCAAAUUCCUUGCGAACAAUACCGAAGACUUGCGGUGUGUAGUUGCUUGUGUGAGAUUUCUCAAGAUUGUAGAAAGGGGUUUUUAAAACAGGUUCCUUCCGUCUGAGAGGCUUUGCAAUCCAACUCAGUCUCCUUUGUGUGCGCACACACGCAAGCCAAGUUUCACUUUGAAUACCCCUGCCUUCCUCUCCUUUCAGUAAGUUUGGUAUUCUGUCUUGUGAGGUAGGAAAAGCCAUCAUGUUUAGGAGAUCAACAAAGAGUGAAUUGGUACAUAUGGACAUCGUGAAAAUAAGGAACUAGGGGAGUUACAGCAUAGUGAAUGUAAAGCUUACCUACCCGCCUAUCCUGCAUUGCUGACCUACCUGUACGAAUGUGCUUAAACGGAGAAUGAGGCGCCCUACCAAAUAUCCUGCUUGGGGCUCCCUACAAAUAGAAUUUAGGGAAUCCCUGCAGUGAACGAUGACAUUAUAUGGGCAAGAGCUUUACUUGUCCAUCACGGACUACUUUUCUCUCCGUUCAAUAGUGAGUUGCCUGAUAGAUAUCCUUCUAUGCUUCUUAUCUCUUAUCCUUUGCUGCGCGCCUUGCUAUUCUUUAUUAUAUAUCGUAUCAUUUGUUCCAUUCUCAAUGGUUGGCCAGAGGCCAGGAUGCUUUAGUUUAUCGGAUCGAUCGCUGUGGUCAAGUGCGCUGGUCUCUUUCCCAAGUCACAGGGGUACGGAUACCAGAAGUAGAUCCAGCAGGAGGUGGUAGCCAUUAUUAUUGAGAAAUAUAAAGAAAGCCGCUUCGUUCCCUUGUUUACUGAACUCUUUUUGGGAGAUAGGUCUACCGUUGCAAACUCAUUUUCUUGUAAAUUCAUUGUCUAAAAUAACUCGUAAAUUCAUUGUGCCAGAAUUGAUCAUCUAACUAGAACUAGUACUAGAUAUGAGCGUUAUUUCUGCGGGUUGCUAGUAGUUUGUUUCAUUAUCCCUCCCCGUCGUCCUCGAUGAUGAACCUUACAGAUAGGUCCCCAUUACGCACCUGUCUCUCUGCCCUGACCCAGUUUACUGCUCGAAAAUAGUAGCGGGAACUGUUUCCAUGAUGCUUAAGACUUUCAUACACGACCCAAAGCUUCUCUGGGUCAUUGAGCUCCUCUUCCUUGUGCUGGAGGGCCGAGGCAGCGAGAUCCUCGACGCUUUCCUCCGCGAAGUGGUAGCUCAAGACCGAGGUAGCAUCGAGGUCUCUUAACAGAGCGCCGAUGUGCUGGUGGUAAUUAAGGACUAGGGCUAGCCGUUCUUCUUCCCCCAUUGUAAGCGGUCGUCCUUCGGGCAGAUUUACACGAGCCUGACCUCCCUGCGGGAGAUACGGGGCUACGGCGCGGGACAGGUCGUCAUCGCCUAAAUGCAUCAGAUUAGUAGAUGCUUGAGCCCUUGCUUGCUCCCCGCCUUCCGUCAAGCCCCCGGGGGUUUGACUUGUGGACGCGACUUGUUUCUCACGCCUAUUGGCACCCCCCUGGAGAAGCGCAUCCCAGAAGCUAUCCUCCAGUGGUGUAGCCCUAGCCCCUGACCCCGACGGAUCCUCAUUUUGCGCGGGGUCGUUACCCGGUGAGCAUUCUGUAGGAGUAAUGUUAGACCCCAGCACCGCGCUACAACAAAAGCCGUAAAAAACUUGCACAGCCCAGACCGGGCAACGCGGACAUAAAGCGCGAACCAACAUCCGUGAUACGAAAACCGAAAUAAGAAUGAGGAAGAAAAACAUAUCCAGAUGAAUUUGAUUUAAAUUUAAACCCAAAAAUAACUUCCCAAACAAUUUGGAACAAACAAGUUCCAUACGAGACAUAAUUAACAACAUGGAAUGUCAGAGAAAUUCAAAUUAUGUAAGUUUGAUAAAACAAAGUCCCUCGUAGAGUCCACGGGGAGCCUACUUCUAUUUUUUCUGUAGUCAAACUAAGACUGGAGCUUGAAGCCACUACUCUAGAACCGGAAGAAGCCUAACUUUUGCAUUUUUAGUAUUUUUUCUUACUGUCAUUUCCGUUUAAUUACAAUACGAAAAUCUUCGAUUGGUAGAAGUGAGUCCAGAUCUCCCUCUUUUCCACUAAACCAUUUAAUUUCUAUAUGAAAAUAAGAGAUGCUUCUAGGGACAAUCAAGAUCACUAGGAAAGAGCUGAGUUAAAGUGGCACUCACUUGAUUAAAGGGUUUUGUGUGUACUGACUGAUCUAAGUGCAGAACCAUUCAAGAAACGUAAUUGAAAGAAAGAAAGAGCGCUAUUCUUCUCUAGUUAGGUACUGCCAUCAAUGAGUUUGCUAAGAAAGACCCCGGUGGAAUAUUUGGCCUGCUUACUAACUUAUAGGCUUUAGAGGGGACCCUUUCUCGCCCAGCCCUACCUACAGGGAUUGUAGGAUUUCGUUUGCAACUCUUUUUCCUAGAAAUCUCAAUCCAGCGAGUCACUACUCUUUUUCUCAAACAAGAAGCUGACAAAGAGAUCCAUCCAUUUGAUUUUCCCAAGAGACUAGUUUGAUUCCACCAAAGUCUCUCUUAGCGCAUAAGUAGAAAUUCAUUAUGAUUAGCAUGAAAACCAUUUUGCAAGAUAUCAAGAAAUUCUUUAAAUAAGUCAUCAUUCAUUAGCGCGUAAGAGCAUUCAUUCUAUCAACAAUAUUUCUCGAACUGGCGCACUUCCCUGUAGAGAGGAAAGUAGGAGAUUUCUCGUAAGGAUUAUACGUGAUUUUCCCAUUAUGUGAGCGUGCAUUUCCUCAAUCAUUAAGAAUUGGGCUUUGGGAAGAAAAACUAGUUCUAUGUCAAUUCUACAGCCAGAGGAAGAAUCAAGUCUAUCUCACUCAUAUAACUGCCAGUGGCACUAUUUCUUUUCAGGACAAACCUUUUAUGGUAUUUUCACUCCGAUUGCGGGAGGGAAGCAGGGCUAUAGAAAUCAGUUCAGAAAAGGACUGAUUGAUAGACUUAAUUUUACGGAGAAGAAAGGAAUAUUCACAGCAUUCAUCACUUCUAUAUUUUACUAUGAUUUUUCGAGCGUGUAUAGAGCCUAUCUAGCUCUAUUUCCUAGUUUCUCCUUUAAGUUGUGAGGAUUGAGUUUGCUUUGAUUCUGGUUCAGGGCAAGGGCUACUUUCUUGAGUUCGUAUAAGCAUGGAUCUAAUCUUACGUGGAUUGGUUAUCGAGAUGAGAAGACCGACACUUUAAAGCGGGUAACGUAAAGGAUAGUCGAAGUAGAGAUGCCAGGCCGGGUCUUAUACUAGUAGCUUCAACCCAGUAGGUUAUUUUGACUGGCCCUUUAGUUGGCAACUCGACUCCAACCCGAUCUGGAAGAGGAUUUAUUUUUUGCGAACUCAUAACUUAGCUAAAUGGGGAGAACGAAGAGGCGUGGAAAAUUGGGGGACGGACUCCUCAAUACCGGAUGAAGUUGGCUUACUUAAGUCCUUGGAGCUUCCCCCGCGGUAGAAGAAUCUAUCUUAAGGAUAUCGUCGGCAUCACAACGAAGACACACAUUCCGCACUACUUGCUCAUCCCACGACUUCCCAUCAAAUUUUCGUAGAUCCCUCACAAUCGAGUUAGGCCGAUUAGGGAAUUUCUCUCUCUUCGAACCUUGGGAUCCAGUAGUCCACCCAAACUUGCUGUGCUUAAACCAUCUCCAAUGCGCCAGAUCAGACCCGCCCAAAGAGUUUCCCUUGCAGCACAAACACCCUCCUCCAUGUGAUCGAAGCCUGAGGCGGAACCUUUGCCCUUAGACAAUAUCUAUUCGGGUAGUCACGCCCUUGAAGCACCUGAGCACAUAGAAAAUCAACGGCAGUCAACAGACUUCAUCUCAACUGAGUGUGCCGGUCCCAGGUUCUCCAGUGGAGUCGAUAUGUGUGAGUUGAGUCUAGCAGGGGCAGGGGAGUGAGAAUAGUCGACAGUUGAAUAGCUUGGCCAGAGAAAGAGGGAAUGAAUGACCGGUCUCGUUCUGGAUCUCUUUCCUUGCGCCCUAGUCCAUUCCAUCUAUCUUGACUGCAACUUGGAUUCUUUCUUGACUGCUAUUUGGAUUCGUAGUCCCUCAAAUCUCUAAGCAGGUGGCUAGAAAACCUUCCGGAAUAGGAGGAAUAUCUGAUAGUUUCUCAUCAGGAAUGGAAUUCGGUUUCCAAUCUGGUCACACAUGAAUCUUGCCCUAAAGCAAUUUCUUGAUUAGGAGCAGUAGGUGGCCCAUAGAAAGGAAUGUCUGCCUAUCCAUAGCCGGGCAAAUUGCUGCAUAUUCAAGUCACCCAAUUCUCUUCUCUUGCACUAUGUCUAUUGGAAUGGACCCUUGAUUCUCCAGCAGAUCCUCCUGGUAUGGAAGGAUAUCAUCCACAAAACAGAUUGCUGAAAAUGCCAUCCAAGUUCACAAAGGAGCGGUCUUCCUAAUAUCUCUUUUGUUUGUGGGAAUCUCUAGUGAGACCUUUUGAUUUCCGGGGUUUCCUACUGUCUUUUGACUUUGUCGUACUCUGCAUAAAAUCUAGUAUGGUGGUCCAGUUAUUUCUAGAAUAUUUCACAGGAUGAUCGUGUGCGGCUCCUAUCCAGCUAACCAAAUGGAUCAGUACCUGUUUGCGAAUUUCUCUUUCCCAAAGAGGACACAACGAUUCGAAAUUCAGGAAAUCUCCGAAUUCUCAAUGUGCAUUUUCUGGUCCUUUCUUAUGGACAAUUCCGUUUUCCCAUUGGCAUAAAGACUUGUUUGACUAUGAUCCACGAACCAAUUCACAUACUCAUCGGAUCUAUCCUUCGAAGAGAGUUGAUCCACUAUUUGCAGGACUUCCGCACCCUCGAUAGAAUGAAUGAAAUGACUGAGCAUAAAAUCCUAUAUAGCAAGGAUAGAUUAUACGGAAUAGAAGAGUCGGUUCUAAGCUAAUAAAAGUAUGAAUUCCCAUAGCAAUAGCAAAGAAAAAGGAAGCCCAUAUCUGAUAUAUUGCUGAGGCAUCUUGGGAAAGAAGUGUCUCUCGCAUCCGCCGGCUAUGAAUUCAAUAAGAAAAUCCAUGUGACUCAUGCAGAUCAAUACGGAAAUGGCAAGGCAUUCAACUUGACCCAUUCAUUCUCGACCAUACGCCCUAAGCUCCUAAAUCUCUGACCUGCCUCCCUUAUACUAAGAAGAGAAGUAUUUGCUUGCUUGCUGGUUGAAGUCUGCUCGUCGCAUUCUAGUCGUGCGUGAUAGAAUAGGCCCACAUAAAGAGAAAGCGGAGACCUUCCCAAGGUUACUCAUCUAGAUCUGGAUAAUCACUAGCUAUAUUAUUUCCUGCUCCUAAAUUCUCGUAAAUAGAGGAUAGGCCCGGCACCCCACAGUCACGGCACCUCUAAGAAGACACCUAUUCCCGGCGCACUCCAUGUGAAAGACACCUAUUCUCGGCACUAUUCCAUAGCACACACACUUAUACUUAAGUAGGCAUAGCUCCGUUAAGAGCUCAUCGAACUUGACUUCUAGAGUGAGACCUGUGAUAGAAGGGGUAAAGGUGAAUUUUGGUCCUCUUUCUCUCGGAAAUAUACGCCACAUGCCUGUGAUCGAUCUCUCUCUUUCUAGGUAUCGGUGAAGUCCGUCAUGGAAUUUAAGUGGUAGAGUGGUAAGUGGGCGUACGGUCUAUGGAUUUCCUAUCAGUGGCAUUAUUCCUUCUCUAGAUAGAUGGCUAUUGAGCUUCUCAUUCGUGAGAGUCAUGCGCCGGAUCAAGGGCUCUCUCAUCUCCUAUUUGGAAAUGUAUAGGUUGUGUAAGUGGCCAGUGCCCGCGGGUAAAGGCUGAUCAUCAAAAGUCAUAUAAUCCAUCUAAGUGCCGGUAUUGCCCAGUGCUUGUCUGGAGUUGUCAUGAUACCCGGAUACUCACCUCACUAUACGCCAAUUCAGGGAAAGGUCAUGCUGGGAAGCUUCAUUGAAAGAUAGUCUCAACACUCUCGAUGAGAAACGACAACCCAGCUAACAAAGGUUUAUGCAUAUGUUGGUCCACAUGCAGAGGAAGUCAAGGUUUCCAGAUGUGCUCAUCCCUGCUUGCUGAUAUGCAAAUCGAUUGGAAUUGGCAAAUCAUAGAGUUUGUCGCUGACAAGAGCUGUUUUGGCCAUGGUGAUCCUCCUCUCAAUACCCAUUCCUGCGAAUUCCCAAUCCAAUUAUAUUAGUAUAAUGUGUAGAAGAAAAAGGGGAAUCCAUGAGAAAGCCCAUAUUGUUCGUGGCAAUGGAACAUUCAUUUCCAGUUUUGUGAAUGGAGAUCACUGACGAGCACUCUUGCGCAAAUCAAGAGUAAAGGUAGGAGCUAUGAAGCUGUCCCGGGUAGGAAAGGAUCCCUUUGAGUUCAUAUUGCUGCAGGAGAAAGAGAAGGGCACAAAGCUUCUAUAUACCACUGGAUUCCACCAGACUGUUCUGUGGAAAACACGGCACCCUAUCCCUUCCCUGACGGGAACCUGGAUACCAUAGCAUAGGAACCUCCCCUUCCCUGACAGGAACCUGGAUACCAUAGCAUAGGAACCUCGAAAAUACGUAUUAUAGGUUGGUUGUAUACACACUCAUCCUUUAAGAAGAUAAGAGAGCCCCGCGGACAUUUCCUUCCUCGGAACCAGGAAACUGAUACUGCCUCGAUUCUGCUUCCGUCUAUCAUGUCCAAUCUUACUUUCGUGCCGAUGAAGGGCAGUCCGGAAGGUGGAGUUAGCACCGGGCCUAUUCUUAGAAGCUGAAGUAGGAGUAGGAGCACUCUUCUUCCUCAAGCGUAGCCAUAUUAGUUGGAUCCGGCAUCCUUUUCGACUGGAGAUACCCUCACAUUACCGGCUUCCCGGCAUACUGGCAAGUUUACUUGACUCACCCAUUCUUGAGAUUGGCCUAGCCACUACUUUGUUUGAUUUCCUUGUCACUGUAGUAAGCAAGUGGCACCUAUUGAUCUACUUCCCUCUAGCAUCACUCAUCCUUACGGCACGAGUCCAUCCAUCCCUCGACCGAAGAGAGUCUUCCUCCUCACGGAACUAGGGUUUGAUUUCAUAGACAAGACUUUCGAGCGCGACGUUGCGCACAUCCUCUUGCUUGGUAUCUUUUCUAGUGUGCAUCACAUUCAUUUUCCUUUCCAGGAAUUUUCCUUUCAUGUAGAUAUGAUAAUCUUCGUGGAAUCAACCUAAUAUAGGAUCUGCCAGUAGUACUUUCGCGGGAUUUGAAAGCAGGCAAACUUAUGAUGCGAGUCUAGUUAGAAUAGAACCAGUGCACUCUGAAAUCCGAACCAACCAAUAUGCUUCGCUUUCCUCUGCUUGUAUAGACUCCGUUCGUGCUAGGACAUCCAUAGCCAAUAGUAAUAGUAGCUAGUAGCUUCGCCCCCCCCUUGCCCCCGGAAAGGUUCUCAUUCCUCACUGGAUCUAGUUGACUUGCUGCUACAUCAAUCAAUCUAUCUAUAUGUUCCGGACGGAAGAGAGAGUUUCCUACAUUGCCAUUCCCAUGAACUGAACAUCGGGUACCAACGAUCUGGAAUCCCGUGCUGAAACCUACAGAUAUGCACCUGUGCGGACCAACCUGGCAAUCCUCCUGUCUAUUCUUUCUAUCUGGACUAGCGCUUCCCACUGGAGCUUACUACUUGACUAGAGCACUGGAACUUGUUAGUUUCAUUAGUCAGUUUCCUAGCAUAGCAAAGUGAGUUUCCCAUCAAUGGAUAAUCAUCCUGUUGUUUCCAUGAACAUCAGGUACAUAUAUGAACCUGUCAACGGAGCGGAACAUAUGAUAUGAACCAAGUAGAUUCAUCUCUUUGCUCGUAACGUUAGUAGUUACUCGCUCAUUAGUAGUGAACUAUGAUCAUUUGUGAGGAAUAUGUUUUCAACUCUAUGUAUGUCAAUUCGAGAGUAGAGCAAUCUAUGUCAACCAAGAGCAGAACUCUCUCUAUUUCUGGCACAGGCUUUCUUUCAAUCAAGAAGAAGAUUAUUUCAGAUUUUAUCACUAUCCGGACUGCUAUCUACUAUCUACCUACCUAUCUACCCGGGCUCGUUGUGAGGCGGGACCCAACCCUCCUCUUCACUCCACUACUUCAAUAGAAAUGGAUCCAUCAUCUGCUACCCAUGAGUAAUAACAUUACGAAUCUACCACUAAUCCCGAGGGCAAGUAUGAAAAAGAGAGUCAAGCAAGGUUGUAUUCGUAUGUUCCAUUUGAGUAAGCCUCUGAUGCCCUGCGCAUCUAGUUAGUACUUACGGAGCUUAAAAAUCCCUUAUUUUAAGCUCUUUUUCCAUUCGAUUCCUUCAAUGCUUCACCGUACUGACUCAAACCUUCGGACCAAAACCUGCAAGGAUACAGGUACUCUUUCGCGUAUCUAUAGUACGCGCCAACUACUACCUAAGCACUCGAAUAUUCGUAUUUCAUUUCGAAUGAAUCUAUAAAACAAAUAGAAAAUGUUCAUGAUCCAUUGACAAAAAGCAAGACGCCGAUCAAGGCACUCAUUCCUUUCGCUUAUUACGUUCUCUGUUAGAACUGUUUAUAGACAUAGCCCUUUAAAGGCGAUAUUUACUGGACCUGCACCCUUUCCUUUGGGCAACGAAGAGUGCAUUGUCCAUCCAGUAUUUGUUUGCUGGUUCUCUAUGCUUUCUUUUGACUGGAAACCUAGGCUAUUCUCAGUGCUCUUACUUCAAGGAUAAAACAAACUAUCUAUUAUAAAAAUCCUUAUCACUACAAGCUCCAAUACCACGGGGUAGCGACAGAAAUGUGAAUUAGUACCCGUAUCUGCUGAUACCUGAAUUGCUUCCACUUUAGAAUCAGCUAGGCGAGAGCCCUGUUGUCCUACUGAAAUGGAUUCUAAUAAAUUCACAAGCACACGGAUAAUGAAUGGAAGCAGAUAGAACCUAUUCAAUCAAAAAACAUAUUCUAACGCAUGUAUUUAGAUAAGAAAAGCGAGGUUUCAAUGGCUUGGAAGGGAAUCUAUCAUUUGUCGGUCUAACGGGGGUUAUAAGAUGGAUAAUCUCACCAAUGCUCUCUGACACAACAUACCUGCUAUCCAAAGACCCCACCUAUAAUGUCAAGAUAGCUCUGUCAACCAACGUUGUUUUAUAGAUCCAACCUUACCAGAUGGUGUUUCUCUUAUCUUCUCCUGAAUGGGUUACCUAACCCUAGCUAUACAGGUGGGGCACAAGAGACGGUACCAAGAGCUGGAGAAGCACCUGGCCCUGUACCUAUGCUGAUUGAGUUCGAGAGCACCGGUAUUUAUUGCAUUAGGACAGGUCUUGCAUUGCUAGAGCUUUUAGGAAGACGAGUAGCUCUCGAGUAUGUUUCUGUUUCAGCCACUCCAAAUGAGAACGUUUCACCAUGCUCCACCAACUAUUCCAAACUGGCAUCCUUUCCUAAACUCAAUGAACUAAUUGAGAAUUCUUCCCUGCCUGGGUGUGCCCUUAAUGAAUUAUCCGUUGGCGGCUAUAGCGAGAUCUGGGUUAGAGUCUAUCUCCCCAUCCCUCCGGCGAGGUAGCAAUGAGCUAUCAAACGCCAAUAGAGGACAAAUCCUGUUGUCCGUUUAUUUCAGCACCACAAUCUUUGUUCGUUCCUACAACAUCUAAAUCAGCACUGGGAGCGGUUCCAGAUGCACUUUCAGGUGAAGUCACAUCAGACGUUUUCGAGGAUGUUCUGGCACAUUGCUGGGGUAUUGAAACCCGUGAAACCGUGGCUACUGCCAUUACAAUCUGAUCGAAGGGAUGGCAUUAGGUAGACAACAACCUCUCUUGAGCGCCGCCUUGAUGGCUUUGUGAAUGAAAUUCGAGUAGAUGUUGUUUCAUCCCGCGUAUGUCUAGAAUCUUGUUAGGAUUCGUCUAUUCCAGGUCAGGAAAGAGCUUCUGUAAACUAUCGUGAUAAGCAUAGCCUUCGCCCCGCAGAGUACUAUAUCAAUGGUUCACCAGGAUAAAUUCAUUAAUGGCUUAGGGCCGGUCUUCAGUAAGUCAAUCAUCAUCGGGUGGAGGGGAAGGCCCUACGUCAAGGUCAAUGGAUUCACCUACCCCAGUCUCAGAACUUUCUAGACUUUCUUACCUGUGUUCUUCUAAACUAAGAGAAGGGCGUGCAUCUACAGCAAUGGUAUUAUCUUCCUUUUUCUUUUUGCAUCUUUGAAUCCUGGUGUGUUGGUUAGUACCGAAGCCUCUUGGCUAGUACAGAGUUGUGGUUUGAUAUAGCUACUAGAGAACCUGGAGGCACUCUCUGAAAAUAAGUAUUCUUCAUAUGACAUGUGAAUAGACAACUCCUGGUAUGCUCAUUUCAUUCCUCUUGGACCUAGAUCUUCACUUUCAGAAGUGCAGAAUUGAUGUAUCAAAGGCAUUUCAAAGGAACAGAGGGUCCAUCUUUGAAGUGAGAGACAAUUGGUUUCAACUAUGUCGUAGGGGUUGUAUUCUUAGACCUGCCGGGAGGGAGGAACCACCGUCCUAGGUAUUGAGCAUGUGAAUCAUGUUAUUUUGUAGGAAUAGAGAUUCUCAGCCAUCAUAUCUUGUUCACCCUUGGCCAUGUCUCCUUCCGAGAAUGAGUUGGUUUGGGGAGAUCAUUAGGUUACUGAGAUCGAAGUAGUGAGGCUGCUUGAGUGCCAUCGAAACCCAUUUGAAAUUGCAAUGACAUAUUGAAGUAGUAGUUCAUUCAACACCCGAUUAGGUAUCUGGAAAUAGUUCCUUAGCACUUUUCUAGUUCAUUAAUAGAAUCUAAAUGAGAUUGAAUGGAAAUGUUGGUAAACGAGGGGUGCAUCAUACUUUUCAAUAGAUGUUGGGGUUCCUAAACCAUAAGGAUACUCUUUUCAUAGAACAAGGCCUGCCAAUCGAUCACCUAGGCUAUAAUCCAAGGGAUAGCUUAACAUGCAUCUCCUAGAUGGAAGUUUGCGACAAUAACUUUGAGCUACUAUAGUCUUUGAUCCUUGAUCUGAAGAGGUAGGCAGCUAUGAUAAAGAAGCCAAGGGAUGAAGUGAUUGUGGUUGGCGUGCCACAUGGAAACUAGAUAGGUGGAAGCUAUUUUAGACGACCUUGCGGGUCAUCCUAACAUUGAAAUGAAGCUAUUCGAGUAGACAAUGAAUAAAGCUAUGAAUGGGGGUAGCUUUACGAGGCAUAAUGCCGGUGUGCACUUUUCUUUUCUCAAACCGUGGUUGAUCCUCUCUAAAUCUGAGGUCAAUAUUUCUUUGCAAUGAACGUUUAUUAGGUCUGGAAAACCUUGUUAGGUGCACUCGUAGGUGAGCUCAAUGUGAGGAUUCAUGCGUUCUUUCUUCUCAAGAAGACGGAAUGAUUGCUCGGUAUGAUAUAGAUUCUUAGCCAGGGGUUUGGUAGCUUAUGCCCCCUAGUUUGCAACGUAGAGCAGAAAUGGUUGAAACGGCUCCCAUUGUGUGUGGGAAUUAUUUCAAAUGUGCAUGGCCUCUCAUAUCUUGAAUCGCUUAUCUGAUUGUUCGGGAGCUAUUGACUUGGUCAUCAUUUGAUUCCACUUCCCCGCCUUUAGUUGGAAGGUUCCAUUUGUCAUAAAUUACUUGUCAAAGAUGGGAUAUCUUGGCUGCCGUGAAUGAUAUUGAGCUACCGGAUCUCGGGACCAUGGUGAAUUAUCUACCAUGCAAUGGGGUCUGCUUUGUAAAACAAGUAAAGUGCACGAAGACGUGUCGAAGGGAAGGAAUAGAACUUGUUUGGCUGUUCAACCCGCGUCGGUUGUUGAUAUUGGAUGAGAUAGCUCGAGAAGGGAACAAAGAAUUCCAACUGGCUGUGGCGAGCGCUCUCCUACUGUUAGUGGCUUAGCUCCGGGGCUCGACUCCUCGAUGGAAUAAAGAUAGAGCUAUUAACCCAUACGCCCUCUUAUUUAAGGUUUCAUAGUUUAGGAAACUACAAUUCUUGUUUGUAUUAGAAUGCAUAGUUGUUUGAAACUAAAGGAAAGGAAUGCUGAUUCGAAUAGGGAUAGGUGAUAUCUUUGAUAGGUCCCCGGUUGUUAGAUUGAGGGAAAACCUAGUGUUCGAUUAAGGAUUCCCCUGAUCAAAAGCGGAUUUCGUUGAGAAGAUGUCAUGGUUGUCGGGGAUCCAAAGUAGUUUCUCUUUCUCACCAGCAAAGCAUAGAAUAUGGAACAAAGAAUGGUGUAUAAUACCCGUAUUCCAAUAAUAAAUCACUUAAUAUGCUGCCCAUGUUGAAAAACCUCUUACUUGUACGAGCUAUGGUACAGGCGUACCUCUCAAGUUGUGCCCCGAGGCCAGUUCAUCAUCUUGAUCUUUUGGUUAGUACGAACGAUGAAGCAGCAGAUACCGGGGUUCUUGCUUGCCUUGUCUUUGACUGCGACUUGCCUAGGUAUCCACCUUAGGCGCCGCUCUCUUGUUUCACUCACAAUUCCGUAGUUGACUGAGCAAUUUCGUCAUUUCCAAAAGUGCACUUCGUUUUUCACUGGCUCGGGCGUACCCCGACCGAAGGGAGUGAAAUCGAUGCCUUUUAUUUCCCAUGCAAAUUCAUAUGGCACUUCCCACAAGCAAGGGAUGAGUAGGAGAAGGAAAGAUUUAUGAAUAUCUAUUGCUUCGAGACUCCACUCACCAUGUCAGUAAACCUUAUAACAGUUAUGGCAGGCAGGAGGUGAUAAGAAAGUAAUUGUAAACAGCCAUCCAAUUGAUAAUAUUUCCUACGGAAAGAUCUGGGCUUGCAUACCUUUUCGAGUAACCUAUAAUGAAUGCAUUCUUAUUUACUACCAUUAUAACCAUUGGUAAGCCGAUCUAUCGUCAAGGGUCCCUAUCGCCAAUUCUCGCCAUUAGAAAUAGGCCUUAGAAUCGCAUCCUUUUUUCUCUUAGUAGAAGUCCCAUAUCUGUCUCAUCGAUCUGGAUAUAACGCAUUGCUCGAGCAAAACAUCUUCCUUUUGCGGAAGGAUCGGCAGGUAUGAGGGACACAUAUUUGUAGCCCUCGGACAGAGGCUCAUUAGGAAAGAAUUGACACUUUUGGCCUUCAUCGUCAGGCCUAGGCCUUAGGUUUACCUUGCUCUAGCGUAGUCAUAUCCAAAUUCAAGAUCAAUCGGAGAAGCUGGCCCUUCGCCUCGAGGAAAUCCCUCUGGAGAUUCAACAUACCCGAAACUGGAAGAUACUAAAGACUAAAGUCAAUGGCAUUCGAUUGGAUAAUCUACUUCGACUUCUCUAUGAUGCUUUUAUUCUGAGUAUAGAAACGGCAUCGGCAUAGGAAAUCGUACAUCAACACCUCAAACGGAUGUUAUAGAAGAGCUACCCACUGGCAUACUCCCUUUUUGCCAAGGAGUUCAGCUUUCACAGAGCUAGAGGAGAGAAACGUCCAACGCUGGCAAGUCGUCACUUUCGUCUUCUUUAGUGCGCUCUAGCCCAAAGACUUCUGCUUAUCCAUAUUCAUGGAAUUGUUAUUCGUUGAGUUUAGAAAUAUCAGGAUACCGAGGGCUUCCUUCUCACGCCUAGCAAAGAUCGAGUUAUGUUCGCACUUCACUUAAUGAGCCUAUUUCUCAGUUUUUAUACCCGUUUAGAUAGAUGGGCUCUAAGGGAGAAGUGGCACACUUUCUCGAGCUAUCUAAGCAUCCAGGGAAGUGAUUCCACAAGCUAGAGAGAUUCUCCUAUUUUCUUUUUCAGAGUUGAGCUCAGGCUAAGGCCAAGCAUGGAUCAAUGUUUGUCAAAUCAUUCUCUGUUGAGUUGAGUCCUCGCCGAAGGUGCCGUGCCGUAUAGUACUUCUCCGGUUAUAGGUGAUAGAUGCAUGGCUUCCGCUCAUGAGGAACGAGUGAGACCGGCGCUCAAUCAAUCAACCACCAGUAGAAGAUAAAGUAAACAAAGGGGUUCUUCAAUGAGAGGCGCAUGAGAUUCUGUAUUGGCCAACUCUUUCUAACUAUCACUAGGCCGGAUACUCUGAUUCUCUGUGGAUGAUUUCCUUCUCUCUCGUUCAAUGCUCUUUGGUCUCGAGGAUCGCCAUUUGGUGGGGUUGGGGUCACACCCGAAGUCGUAUUGGAGAAUUGAGCGGAACUACUUCGAUGUGCACUCUUUUAUUGGGUCAGGAAGCCCUGUUUUUGAAGCAGCAAGACCUCUUCGUCAUCAUUAUUGGGGUAUGGGCCCUAAAUCAUUGGAAAAGACGGUUUUCUUUAGGGAAUUUAAACGAUAUCGCCUCCUUCUGUACUAAAAAGGGAAUGGAUGAGUUCACUUAAGAAGCAGGCCUGGCCGGUACUAAAACAGAGAAGUCCGCUCAGGUUUCAUCUCAUCUAAGCAGCAACCAAGCGAUGAUUCUGGAAUCGUGCCAUUCUUGAUAGUUGGACUUCUCUCCAUACAUAGAAAUGAACUGCUCAUGAGCUAGCUAUCCCCGAUAUGUUCUCGUACUAGACUUCACACAUGUCGUCAUCGUAUAAUCGGAGAAUCAACACUGAUGUCUACCUUUGGAAAACUAAAUAGAUGAUUUUCGAUACUAGGAUGACUACUCCCGAGGCCUGUUUUAACUAAAGAAUUUACAGGUGGCCCGGUCGGUAAACUAUUCCCGAGAGAGGAUAAGCAGAAACAUCAAUCUGUAUUUUCGUAUCAUAUUCCAGCAGCUCCAAUGCCUUAGAGCAGGAUCUUAUCUUCCUAGAAAGAAAUGAGUGUUGCACACAGAUAGCCAGCUACUCCUUAUGAAUGGGAUGCAUGCAUAUUUCAAUUCAUGAACUGAAGCUCGUAGAAAUCCUUCCUGUCCGCCUAGUUACCUAUCCGGACUUGUUUCGUAGAAAUCCUACCUUGCUUUUAGGCGGAGAAAGACUAUUUUUUAGUUUCUUCGGUGCAAAAGUGCCGUAGGCAAGUCCGUUUCAUAUAGCUGCAAAAGUUAGCAAGUCCUUUUUUCCUAAGGAAACUCGAUUUCCAAUGAAAAAAGUGCAGAUCACUAUGGGUCAAAAGUAGUGUUUUUCUAGUUUACCACAAAAAUGCAUGUUUUGAGAGCUAUAUUUUUCGAUCAAUUCCUAAUCACUUAGCUGUAAAAGUAGGAUUUUUUCAUCUCCCGAAACCCAGGCCCUCUCCCCAAAACUCCACACCAAGCCUUUAGAUACGCAAAUAUGAGCUUGCCUUGGCUUUAUUGCCCUUAUCGGAUGGAAGUUACGGAUGAGAGAUGACGUAUCUUACGUAUCGAAUCUCAAGUAACAGAUGAGAAUUGACGUAUUCAAAGUGGAAAGAACGAAUACCGAUUCUCGUGGAUGAACGGAGGAAAUGGGAACUUGGUCUUUGCACUCUUCUUUCGGGGGGGUUAUCCCAUGACAUUAAUAAGAGGUGAGUAAUUACUAAAAGGUGAGUAAAAGAAUUCACAGAAAUUACUUUAUAAUAUCUAUGGCCAAUACCCCAGUUGGUCCUAUACAUAUCAUUUACCUAUUUGCGAUUUCUCUUUCCCAAAGUGGACACAAUGAUUCGAAAUUCAGGAAAUCUCCGAAUUCUCAGUGUGCAUUUUCUGGUCCUUUCUUAUGGACAAUUCCGUUUUCCCAUUGGCAUAAAGACUUGUUUGACUACGAUCCACGAACCAAUUCACAUAGUCAUCAGAUCUAUGCUUCGAAGAGAGUUGAUCCGCUAUUUGGAGGACUUCCGCACCCUCGAUAGAAUGAAUGAAAUGACUGAGCAUAAAAUCCUAUAUAGCAAGGAUAGAUUAUACGGAAUAGAAGAGUCGGUUCUAAGCUAAUCAAAGUAUGAAUUCCCAUAGCAAUAGCAAAGAAAAAGGAAGCCCAUAUCUGAUAUACUGCUGAGGCAUCUUGGGAAAGAGGUGUGUCUCGCAUCCGUCGGCUAUGAAUUCAAUGAGAAAAUCCAUGUGACACACGCAGAUUAAUACGGAAAUGGCAAGGCAUUCAACUUGACCCAUUCAUUCUCGAUCAUACGCCCUUAGCUCCCAACUCUCUAACCUGCCUCCCUUAUACUAAGAAGAGAAGUAUUUGCUUGCUUGCUGGUUGAAGUCUGCUCGUCGCAUUCUAGUCGUGCGUGAUAGAAUAGGCCCACAUAAAGAGAAAGCGGAGACCUUCCCAAGGUUACUCAUCUAGAUCUGGAUAAUCACUAGCUAUAUUAUUUCCUGCUCCUAAAUUCUCGUAAAUAGAGGAUAGGCCCGGCACCCCACAGUCACGGCACCUCUAAGAAGACACCUAUUCCCGGCGCACUCCAUGUGAAAGACACCUAUUCUCGGCACUAUUCCAUAGCACACACACUUAUACUUAAGUAGGCAUAGCUCCGUUAAGAGCUCAUCGAACUUGACUUCUAGAGUGAGACCUGUGAUAGAAGGGGUAAAGGUGAAUUUCAAUCCUCUUUCUCUCGGAAAUAUACACCACAUGCCUGUGAUCGAUCUCUCACUUUCUAGGUAUCGGUGAAGUCCGUCAUGGAAUUUAAGUGGUAGAGUGGUAAGUGGGCGUACGGUCUAUCGAUUUCCUAUCAGUGGCAUUAGUUCCUUCUCUAGAUAGAUGGCUAUUGAGCUUCUCAUUCGUGAGAGUCAUGCGCCAGAUCAAGGGCUCUCUCAUAUCCUAUUUGGAAAUGUAUAGGUUCUGUAAGUGGCCAGUGCCCGCGGGUAAAGGCUGAUCAUCAAAAGUCAUCUAAUCCAUCUAAGUGCCGAUAUUGCCCAGUGCUUGUCUGGAGUUGUCA